rnacentral:rRNA from 1 species
GUAGCGGCGAGCGAACGGGGAGCAGCCCAGAGUCUGAAUCAGCUUGUGUGUUAGUGGAACGGUCUGGAAAGUCCGACGGUACAGGGUGAUAGUCCCGUACACCAAAAUGCACAGGCUGUGAACUCGAAGAGUAGGGCGGGACACGUGGUAUCCUGUCUGAAUAUGGGGGGACCAUCCUCCAAGGCUAAAUACUCCUGACUGACCGAUAGUGAACCAGUACCGUGAGGGAAAGGCGAAAAGAACCCCGGCGAGGGGAGUGAAAAAGAACCUGAAACCGUGUACGUACAAGCAGUGGGAGCACCUUCGGGUGUGACUGCGUACCUUUUGUAUAAUGGGUCAGCGACUUAUAUUCUGUAGCAAGGUUAACCGUAUAGGGGAGCCGCAGGGAAACCGAGUCUUAACUGGGCGUUAAGUUGCAGGGUAUAGACCCGAAACCCGGUGAUCUAGCCAUGGGCAGGUUGAAGGUUGGGUAACACUAACUGGAGGACCGAACCGACUAAUGUUGAAAAAUUAGCGGAUGACUUGUGGCUGGGGGUGAAAGGCCAAUCAAACCGGGAGAUAGCUGGUUCUCCCCGAAAGCUAUUUAGGUAGCGCCUCGUGAAUUCAUCUUCGGGGGUAGAGCACUGUUUCGGCUAGGGGGUCAUCCCGACUUACCAACCCGAUGCAAACUACGAAUACCGAAGAAUGUUAUCACGGGAGACACACGGCGGGUGCUAACGUCCGUCGUGAAGAGGGAAACAACCCAGACCGCCAGCUAAGGUCCCAAAGUCAUGGUUAAGUGGGAAACGAUGUGGGAAGGCACAGACAGCCAGGAUGUUGGCUUAGAAGCAGCCAUCAUUUAAAGAAAGCGUAAUAGCUCACUGGUCGAGUCGGCCUGCGCGGAAGAUGUAACGGGGCUAAACCAUGCACCGAAGCUGCGGCAGCGACACUAUGUGUUGUUGGGUAGGGGAGCGUUCUGUAAGCCUGCGAAGGUGACCUGUG